rnacentral:rRNA from 1 species
UGCCAGCAGCCGCGGUAAGGCGAACCGUCCAAACGUUAUUCGGAAUUACUGGGCUUAAAGGGUACGUAGGCGGUGCGGUAAGUUGGAUGUGAAAUCCCACGGCUCAACCGUGGAACUGCGUUCAAUACUGCCGUGCUUGAGGGAGACAGAGGCGAGCGGAACUGAUGGUGGAGCGGUGAAAUGCGUUGAUAUCAUCAGGAACACCCGUGGCGAAAGCGGCUCGCUGGGUCUCUUCUGACGCUGAGGUACGAAAGCUAGGGGAGCGAACGGGAUUAGAUA